rnacentral:rRNA from 1 species
CGCCAGACUCCUACGGGAGGCAGCAGUAGGGAAUUUUGCGCAAUGGGGGAAACCCUGACGCAGCAACGCCGCGUGAUUGAUGAAGCCCUUCGGGGUGUAAAGAUCUGUCAGUGGGGACGAAACUUGACGGUACCCACAGAGGAAGCAUCGGCUAACUCCGUGCCAGCAGCCGCGGUAAUACGUAGGGGGCAAGCGUUAUCCGGAUUUACUGGGUGUAAAGGGGGCGCAGACGGCGAUGCAAGCCAGGAGUGAAAGCCCGGGGCCCAACCCCGGGACUGCUCUUGGAACUGCGUGGCUGGAGUGCAGGAGGGGCAGGCGGAAUUCCUGGUGUAGCGGUGAAAUGCGUAGAUAUCAGGAGGAACACCGGUGGCGAAGGCGGCCUGCUGGACUGCAACUGACGUUGAGGCCCGAAAGCGUGGGGAGCAAACAGGAUUAGAUACCCCUGUA